UUGAUUUUAGUUGCAUUUGGUCAUUAGGACGUUCACAAAGUACGUAAAUCAUAGGAUCCUUCCGUAGGUGAACCUGCGGAAGGAUCAUUAUUGAUUUUAGUUAUUUGUGAACGUACUACGAACAAACAAAAAAAUAUUAUAGUCAAAAAAAAUUAAAUCA
rnacentral:misc_RNA from 1 species